GGAAGUAAAAGUCGUAACAAGGUCUCCGUUGGUGAACCAGCGGAGGGAUCAUUACCGAGUUAACAACUCCCAAACCCCUAUGUGAACCUAUACCAAACGUUGCUUCGGCGGGAACGCCCCGGCUCAGCCCGGAACCAGGCGCCCGCCGAGGACCCCCAAACCCAUGUUUUCUUACAGUUUUUUCUGAGUGGCAAACGCAAAAUAAAUCAAAACUUUCAACAACGGAUCUCUUGGUUCUGGCAUCGAUGAAGAACGCAGCAAAAUGCGAUAAGUAAUGUGAAUUGCAGAAUUCAGUGAAUCAUCGAAUCUUUGAACGCACAUUGCGCCCGCCAGUAUUCUGGCGGGCAUGCCUGUUCGAGCGUCAUUUCAACCCUCAAGCUCAGCUUGGUGUUGGGACUCGCGGUAACCCGCGUUCCCCAAAUCGAUUGGCGGUCACGUCGAGCUUCCAUAGCGUAGUAAUAAUACACCUCGUUACUGGUAAUCGUCGCGGCCACGCCGUAAAACCCCAACUUCUGAAUGUUGACCUCGGAUCAGGUAGGAAUACCCGCUGAACUUAAGCAUAUCAAUAAGCGGAGGAAAAGAAACCAACAGGGAUUGCCCUAGUAACGGCGAGUGAAGCGGCAACAGCUCAAAUUUGAAAUCUGGCUCUCGGGCCCGAGUUGUAAUUUGUAGAGGAUGCUUUUGAUGCGGUGCCUUCCGAGUUCCCUGGAACGGGACGCCAUAGAGGGUGAGAGCCCCGUCUGGUUGGAUACCAAAUCUCUGUAAAGCUCCUUCGACGAGUC
rnacentral:sRNA from 1 species